UGAGUCCCUACCAGGAUAUCAAAACCAAUCAAACUCCAAAUGCCUCGGAUCCCAUUACCUCGGCAUUCAGGCUGCGAGGGAUAAGCUUCGUAGCCGAGAGGGCAACAGCCCAGAUCGCCAGCUAAGGUGCCUAAAUACUAUUAAGUGGAAAGGAUGUGACGUUGCUUAGACAGUGAGGAUGUUGGCUUAGAGGCAGCCAUCAUUUAAACAGUGCGUAAUAGCUGACUCAUCGAGCGAUGUCGCGCCGAAAAUGAUUGGCGAUAAAUAGUAUACCGAAGCUGCGGACUUGAGAGGGUUUCGACCCUUUCAUUUGGUAGGAGAGCGUAAUUCAUGCAGUGAAGCCUUACUGGAAAGGACGGUGGAGCGUGAAUUAGUGAGAAUGCAGACAUGAGUAGCGAUAAACCAGAUGAGAAUUCUGGUCGCCGUAAACCUGAGGUUUCCUGGGCAAGGUUCGUCCUCCCAGGGUUAGUCGGGAGCUAAGAUGAGGCCGUAAGGCGUAGUCGAUGCACAGCAGGUUAAUAUUCCUGCGCCAACUAGGAUUAAGGACUGGAGUGAAGCAGAGAGGAAAGUGACUAGGCAAUCGAAUGCUGAGCCGAGGGGCAACCCGAAGCGUAUCACCGGACAAUCUGUCGAGAAAAGCUCCUUUUCGUUUCCCUAGGUGCCCGUACCGUAAACCGACACAGGUGGGUGGGUCGAGUAGACCAAGGCGCGCGAGAGAAACCUCUCUAAGGAACUCGGCAAAAUAGCCCCGUAACUUCGGGAGAAGGGGUACCCACUUCGGUGGGUCACAGUAAAUUGGGUUUAGCGACUGUUUAACAAAAACACAGCACUCUGCCAAGUUGUGAAAACAACGUAUAGGGUGUGACACGUGACCAAUGCGGAAAGAUCAAGGUGACUUGUUAGCCGCAAGGCGAAGCUCGGAGCCAAAGUCCCCGUGAAUGUCGGCCGUAACUAUAACGGUCCUAAGGUAGCGAAAUUCCUUGUCGGGUAAGUUCCGACCUGCACGAAUCGUGUAACGACUGAACCGCUGUCUCGGAGAGGAUCUCGGCGAAAUUGUAACGGCGGUGAAGAUGCCGCCUGCCCGCAGUAGGACGGAAAGACCCUAUGCACCUUUACUGUAAGCUGGUAUUGUGUUCUGAUUAAUGAUGCGUAGCGUAGGUGGGAGACUUUGAAGCCAUGGUUUCGGUUGUGGCUGAGUCGCAAUGUGAAACACCACUCUUUGUUAAUUAGGAUUCUAACCCUAUGCUGUUAGCCAGCUAGGGGACAGUGCCUGCGGGUCAGUUUGACUGGGGCGGUUUCCUCCCAAAGGGUAACGGAGGAGCGCUAAGGUACUCUCAGCAUGGUUUGCAACCAUGCGUCGAGCGUAUGGGUAGAAGAGUGCUUAACUGCGAGAUCAACAAGUCGAGCAGAUACGAAAGUAGGCCCAAAUGAUCCGAUGGUUGAAUAUGGAAUUGCCAUCGCUCAACGGGCAAAAGGUACGCUAGGGAUAACGAG
rnacentral:rRNA from 1 species